CAACAAAGAAUAAACAUUGAACAACUAAGAAAACAAACAAAAGCGAAACAACACAAUUCAACAUGCAAAGACCAAAAUUUCAUUUACACAAUUCAAUAACAAAAGAAAAACCACGCACAGGAACAUUCAACCCAAGAAAACUCAACACGACACCACAAAAACCUUCCACACACAAGAAUCUACAAAAAAAAAAAACAACAACAUGCAACCAGCACACCAGGGACCAAGAAGACCGCCCAGAUUCCCAAUCUACCUCAACAAAACUCUGGCGUACCCAGAUGCUUCGCAGGAACGACAGUGGGAGGUAAGAUUGUUUAAAUCCUUCAGCGCCCAACGUAGGCUACACCCACCAUUCUACAUCUAAAGAGUUAGCCGGGCAAUCCUCCACGAAUGUUCAACCUAGGAAUGUAUUUCAAUUUACUGUGUCUUGUAUGAAUAUGAGUGGACCUUCCAAUUUUCACAGGUACCAUUUUAGUUACAAAGGACCUUAAACACUGGACGAAGAACAAUAUUUGUAUAAUCAAGGAGGAAAUAAUCAACACAUCAAUGACAAAACACAAAUCUUAACCUAAUAUUGCACUCGUUCACUCACAUCACAUUGAAUGCCUACAUUGGCUGUUGUUCGGCUAUAGUUUGGGUGGAGCGUGACUCCGCCGCUUUCGUCACACUCCCUAUCUUGUUUCCCGAACAUUUGGGACAAUUAGGAGUAACAACUCCCAUUAAUCCGCACCUGUAGCAGAACAAGGUUCUCUGAACACUGGGACAAUCGUUAAAUAAGUGACCCUGUAAUCUACAGUUCCAACAAAGCACCUUAUCAGUAUUCAUAUUGUUUGAUUUCCGAUAUCAAUUCACGAAUAAGGCCAGCAUAAGCCCUUGGGCUAUUGCACGAUGAAAAACCUCUUUGUGUUUGAGAUAUAUUGGCUGGUGGAAAAUUGUAGUUCUUCGGAGGAACAAAAGUUUUCGGUAUUGCUCCGGUUUGUUGCCCAGAAACUGUUGUUUGUGCAUGCAAUAGUGGAUCGUUUGAUGGGUUCCCUAUCGGCGUUCAUUGGCGUUCUCCCUAAUGGCAUUUUAGUAAUCUUUCUUUUAAAAAUUCUAAUUUAUUG